rnacentral:rRNA from 1 species
UGGGCAACCUGCCCCUCUCUCUGGGAUAACCCCGGGAAACCGGAGCUAAUACCGGAUACUCCGGCUGGAUCGCAUGGUCCGGCCGGGAAAGGUCCGCCGGAGAGGGAUGGGCCCGCGGCCUAUCAGUUAGUUGGUUGGGUAAUGGCUCACCAAGGCGACGACGGGUAGCUGGUCUGAGAGGAUGGCCAGCCACAUUGGGACUGAGACACGGCCCAGACUCCUACGGGAGGCA